rnacentral:rRNA from 1 species
CCCGCUGAAAGGUGGGGGUGCUCGAAAGAGAACCGGAACACAGGUGCUGCAUGGCUGUCGUCAGCUCGUGUCGUGAGAUGUUGGGUUAAGUCCCGCAACGAGCGCAACCCUCGUCUUCAGUUGCCAUCGGUAGGGCCGGGCACUCUGAAGAAACUGCCGGUGACAAGCCGGAGGAAGGUGGGGAUGACGUCAAAUCAUCAUGCCCCUUAUGUCUUGGGCUUCACGCAUGCUACAAUGGCCGGUACAAAGGGCUGCGAUACCGUGAGGUGGAGCGAAUCCCAAAAAACCGGUCUCAGUUCGGAUUGGGGUCUGCAACUCGACCCCAUGAAGUCGGAGUCGNUAGUAAUCGCAGAUCAGCAACGCUGCGGUGAAUACGUY